GUACGACGGAGCACGUGAAAUUCCGUCGGAAUCAGGGAGGACCAUCUCCUAAGGCUAAAUACUCUCUAGUGACCGAUAGUGAACCAGUACCGUGAGGGAAAGGUGAAAAGCACCCCGGAAGGGGAGUGAAAUAGAACCUGAAACCGUGUGCUUACAAGUAGUCAGAGCCCGUUAAUGGGUGAUGGCGUGCCUUUUGUAGAAUGAACCGGCGAGUUACGAUUUGAUGCAAGGUUAAGCAGUAAAUGUGGAGCCGUAGCGAAAGCGAGUCUGAAUAGGGCGUUUAGUAUUUGGUCGUAGACCCGAAACCAGGUGAUCUACCCUUGGUCAGGUUGAAGUUCAGGUAACACUGAAUGGAGGACCGAACCGACUUACGUUGAAAAGUGAGCGGAUGAACUGAGGGUAGCGGAGAAAUUCCAAUCGAACCUGGAGAUAGCUGGUUCUCUCCGAAAUAGCUUUAGGGCUAGCCUCAAGUGAUGAUUAUUGGAGGUAGAGCACUGUUUGGACGAGGGGCCCCUCUCGGGUUACCGAAUUCAGACAAACUCCGAAUGCCAAUUAAUUUAACUUGGGAGUCAGAACAUGGGUGAUAAGGUCCGUGUUCGAAAGGGAAACAGCCCAGACCACCAGCUAAGGUCCCAAAAUAUAUGUUAAGUGGAAAAGGAUGUGGCGUUGCCCAGACAACUAGGAUGUUGGCUUAGAAGCAGCCAUCAUUUAAAGAGUGCGUAAUAGCUCACUAGUCGAGUGACACUGCGCCGAAAAUGUACCGGGGCUAAACAUAUUACCGAAGCUGUGGAUUGUCCUUUGGACAAUGGUAGGAGAGCGUUCUAAGGGCGUUGAAGCAUGAUCGUAAGGACAUGUGGAGCGCUUAGAAGUGAGAAUGCCGGUGUGAGUAGCGAAAGACGGGUGAGAAUCCCGUCCACCGAUUGACUAAGGUUUCCAGAGGAAGGCUCGUCCGCUCUGGGUUAGUCGGGUCCUAAGCUGAGGCCGACAGGCGUAGGCGAUGGAUAACAGGUUGAUAUUCCUGUACCACCUAUA
rnacentral:rRNA from 1 species